rnacentral:rRNA from 1 species
AGUGAACGCUGGCGGUAGGCCUAACACAUGCAAGUCGAACGGCAGCACAGUAAGAGCUUGCUCUUACGGGUGGCGAGUGGCGGACGGGUGAGGAAUACAUCGGAACCUACUUUUUCGUGGGGGAUAACGUCGGGAAACUUACGCUAAUACCGCAUACGACCUACGGGUGAAAGCAGGGGAUCUUCGGACCUUGCGCGAUUGAAUGAGCCGAUGUCGGAUUAGCUAGUUGGCGGGGUAAAGGCCCACCAAGGCGACGAUCCGUAGCUGGUCUGAGAGGAUGAUCAGCCACACUGGAACUGAGACACGGUCCAGACUCCUACGGGAGGCACCAGUGGGGAAUAUUGGACAAUGGGCGCAAGCCUGAUCCAGCCAUACCGCGUGGGUGAAGAAGGCCUUCGGGUUGUAAAGCCCUUUUGUUGGGAAAGAAAAGCAGCAGGUUAAUACCCCGCUGUUCUGACGGUACCCAAAGAAUAAGCACCGGCUAACUUCGUG